rnacentral:tRNA from 1 species
GGGAAUGUAGUUCAGAUGGUAGAGCACGCUCUUAGCAUGCUAGAGAUAUGGAGUUUGAUACUCCACUUUUCUA